GACGAACGCUGGCGGCGUGCUUAACACAUGCAAGUCGAACGCUGAAGACCUGGCUUUUGUUGGGUUGGAUGAGUGGCGAACGGGUGAGUAACACGUGAGUAACCUGCCCUCUUCUUUGGGAUAACGCCCGGAAACGGGUGCUAAUACUGGAUAUUCACUGAUCUUCGCAUGGGGGUUGGUGGAAAGGUUUGUUCUGGUGGGGGAUGGGCUCGCGGCCUAUCAGCUUGUUGGUGGGGUGAUGGCCUACCAAGGCUUUGACGGGUAGCCGGCCUGAGAGGGUGACCGGUCACAUUGGGACUGAGCUACGGCCCAGACUCCUACGGGAGGCAGCAGUGGGGAAUAUUGCACAAUGGGCGAAAGCCUGAUGCAGCGACGCCGCGUGAGGGAUGGAGGCCUUCGGGUUGUAAACCUCUUUCGCUCAUGGUCAAGCCGCAACUGUGGGUUGUGGUGAGGGUAGUGGGUAAAGAAGCGCCGGCUAACUACGUG
rnacentral:rRNA from 1 species